ensembl:lncRNA
CACCAAAAAAGGGGGUAGGGAGAGAAAAAGGAAGCAAAACCAAAAAGAAAGCCAGCCUGCAAAUGUAAAUGCACCAGCUACGUGCCAAGUGAAGGUGCUGAUGCUGUGAUAAGCCUUCAGGUCUGCAAAGUUUGCUGGGAAGAAAAAAGGGAUUCACAUCCAUAGGGGAUCAGAGCGCUGCUCUGACGUUGCUAUUUUUCUUUCAGCUUGGAAGGUCCUUCCCCUGCUCUCCCCCACUGGAUUCAAACCAGGCAGUGAAGCCAGGAAUAAUUUGGUUGGGGUCAGGAUUUCUCCUCCAUGGAACCCAGGGCUACGUGGGGAGCUGCUGGGAUCCCAGCACAGCCUCUGUCCGGCUUCAGUUACAGCUUGAGAAUCAUUUGAAGAAAUAAUGUGUGAGGGGAAAAAAAAAUAUUACCUCCGGCAGUUGUGUUAUAACGGCUCUUGUGCUGACAGCCCUUUGGGAACGGUGGCAGCAGCAGGGCUGAAUGUUUUGGAGAAGAGAUCCUCAGAAGGAACACGGGAGGUGCGUUGGGUCGCCUUCACUCUGCACAGAGAUAAAGCCAGAGGGAUCCCUCAUUCCGAACAAGGCAGAGCCUGAACUUGAACUGCGGGUUGUCCAAAGCUCAGGAGAGAGUUUAAAGAAGUGAGUUCCUCUUUGUGUCCUAAAAUCCUUUCUAACCGAAGUGCUCCUAUGCUGUGUUCUGGCAAAGCCCCGUUGGCUGUGGGUACACACUCAGCUCCAGCCACAUCUGAGCCCCAGUGAUGAGCUUCGUUCUGCUUCUGCUGAAAUCGUGGGGCCUUCUGGAGUUCUUUCCAGAGCAAACAGGUCUCAGAAUGGUCAGCAAGAGCAGCCAAACCCUGAGCAGUGAAGUCCCAGAAAGAAUGAAUGUAAUGCUGGCCAACCUGACAGGUGUCUCUUAUUGCUUCCCUAUGGGAAGGAGGAGCCCGAGAUUUUGGAGCGCUCUGCUCAGGAUGUUUGUGAGCACCUUUAAAGGUGAAAAUCCCAGCGUGCAAAAUCCCUGGAGUUCAGAUGAGUGUUCAAUAGGAGAUACCCCUGAAUCUCUUAAAUACUUCUGAUCACAUUCAGCCCGGAUUCAGCAAAGCAUGUGCUGUCUUUAGGGGGUGCUUAAAUCCCCUCCAUGCAGUGUGCAGCAGCUCAUCUCUCCCAGGCAGGGGGGGUUCUGCUGCCCCUCACUGCACCCACAUUCAUCUCCCCAAAGUGGGCAGCACUUUGG